rnacentral:lncRNA from 1 species
UAGUUGGUGUUUGUUGUGUUUAUGUGUGGUAGUUUGGUUGUUGGUAUGAGGUGUGUUGUGUUUGGGUUUGGUAGUUUGGUUGAUGGUAUUGGUGUAUUGUGUUUGUUGUUAGAAGGGUUGUGUAUAUUGAGUUUGUGGUUCAUAUUGGGUGGAAGUCGAUGUUUGGGUAUAAUGUUGGUUGGUAGGGAUUUGUGUUUGGGGGUUUGUUAAUUAUGGUCGUGGUGGAGUCGACAUAUGUGAUGCAGAACAAUGCUGAUGGGGGC